CAGAGGUCCCGAGCGUUGUUCGGAUUCACUGGGCGUAAAGGGUGCGUAGGUGGUGGGGUAAGUCGGAUGUGAAAUCUCCGGGCUCAACCCGGAAACUGCAUUGGAAACUACCUUGCUAGAGGUUUUGAGGGGGGACUGGAAUUCUCGGUGUAGCAGUGAAAUGCGUAGAUAUCGAGAGGAACACCAGUGGCGAAGGCGAGUCCCUGGAAAACACCUGACACUGAGGCACGAAAGCUAGGGGAGCAAACAGGAUUAGAUACCCUGGUAGUCCUAGCCCUAAACGGUGCUUGCUUGCUGUAAGUGGAAUCGACCCCACUUGUGGCGGAGCUAACGCGUUAAGCAAGCCGCCUGGGAAGUACGGUCGCAAGAUUA
rnacentral:rRNA from 1 species